ACUGUAGAGUCUUUGUAGAGUAAAAUCUUUGUUCUUUUCUUAAUCUUUGAGAAGCUAAUAUGGCUGUUUAAUGAUGUGUGGGAUUUCAUAAGUUUGCUGUGGUUUGUGUGCACUCCACAGGAAUAAUUUCAAUGUGUUGAUCAUGAAACAACUGAUGUUUACUUAAAAAUGCAUAUUUAUAUUACCUCUUAAGCAUCUGAUUUUUUAUAGGUGUUUCUUUUGUAGUGGCCACUUCUAGCUGGCUGCUCUUACACCUUUUACAAUAAUAUCUAAACGUUCUUUUAAUCCUUAGACAAAUAUAUUCUCUGGAGGAAGAAAUUUACAUUAAAGAUGAUCACCCACUGUGUUAUGAAUAUGUUAAGAUUGAUGACAAUAUAUAGGAGGAUUUUCUUUGCUUCCUCCCACCCUGUCCAUACAAAUUGGGUUUAUUAAACCUAAACAUAAGAAUAUUGGGGAUCAUUCAGUUUUGCUGUCUGGCCUGUGAUUUGCUGCCAACACGUUAUGCUCGUGCUGUUGGAGGUUUAAUAAAGUGUUGACUGACUUAUACUAAC
rnacentral:lncRNA from 1 species